AGAUUGAACGCUGGCGGCAGGCCUAACACAUGCAAGUCGAGCGGCAGCACGGGUACUUGUACCUGGUGGCGAGCGGCGGACGGGUGAGUAAUGCCUAGGAAUCUGCCUGGUAGUGGGGGAUAACGCUCGGAAACGGACGCUAAUACCGCAUACGUCCUACGGGAGAAAGCAGGGGACCUUCGGGCCUUGCGCUAUCAGAUGAGCCUAGGUCGGAUUAGCUAGUUGGUGGGGUAAUGGCUCACCAAGGCGACGAUCCGUAACUGGUCUGAGAGGAUGAUCAGUCACACUGGAACUGAGACACGGUCCAGACUCCUA
rnacentral:rRNA from 1 species